rnacentral:rRNA from 1 species
UACGUAGGGUGCGAGCGUUGUCCGGAAUUAUUGGGCGUAAAGAGCUCGUAGGCGGUCUGUCGCGUCUGCUGUGAAAUCCCGAGGCUCAACCUCGGGCUUGCAGUGGGUACGGGCAGGCUAGAGUGCGGUAGGGGAGAAUGGAACUCCUGGUGUAGCGGUGGAAUGCGCAGAUAUCAGGAGGAACACCGGUGGCGAAGGCGGGUCUCUGGGCAGUAACUGACGCUGAGGAGCGAAAAGCGUGGGGGAGCGAACAGG